GGUCAGUGUUCUAUUGUUCUGUGUCCUCUACAUUUGCACAUGCACAGAGAGUAUAGUGUUUAGAGAAGCAUGGUAGGGACAAUUUAAAGGCCUUUCUACCAGGCGUGAAAAGAUGCUUGCUCCAGCUACUCUUGGCUCCUUCGCAUUUAUAUUGACGUCCUCACCAUCCCCACAAGUGGGCAUUUGUACCCUGGGCAGAGCUGGAACAAGGCCAUUGCUACUGCAAAUUCCUCCCUGAACAGACUUUGGUCAGACUGUACUGGAGAAUUUAUAAUGGGAAGGUUGUUCGUCUUUCAUUCAUCGUUGAGAUCCAGAAAGACCCACCUGGCUACAUUCAGGUUUGGCCACAUCUCUGAGGACAGAGUCUGUCUAUUCCGACACAUAAAAUGAAGUCAGAAAGACUACUGACAUGACUUACAAAGGAGAUGCCCUGAAACUGGUGCUGGAAACUUGGUCCCUCAUCCAUCAAAAGCAAUAAAGGGAUUCAAGAUGGAGAGGCUGGGCA
rnacentral:lncRNA from 12 species